CAAAAGUUGUAGUUACUGUUAUGCGAUUUUUUUUUUCCUAUAGUGAAUUGGUUUGGCGACCAAAACAAGAAAAGAGAUGAACAAUUUUAUACCAACACAAUCACCAUCAUCCCUCAUCAUAACCAUCAUCAUCAUUUUUUUUUUAAUUGAAACCAUCAUCAUCAUUUCACCAUAAACAUCAUCACCAUCAUAUCAACACCACCACCAGCAUCAUCUUCAUUCCUAUAACAUCAUCAUCAUCAUCAUCGUCAUCAUUAUCAGUGUCAACAUCAUCAUAUGUCAUCAUCAUAUGUCAUCACCAUCAACAUCAUCCAUCAUCAUCUUCAUACCACCACAAUCAUCAUCAUCAUCAUUCCACAAAAUAUAGCUUCGUAUUUGAAUUUAACAUAGAAGACUUUCAUGUAAGUUUACUUAGAAAAUGCUUUGUUGUAUUUGGAUUUCUUUUUCUUUUUUUUUGGGAUAAAACUUGUGUUUGGAUUUUUCAUAAACAGACCGAUGUGACGUAGAAUCUGAUUUGUAUUUGGAUUUAAUCCGC
rnacentral:lncRNA from 1 species